rnacentral:rRNA from 1 species
CUUGACUGUAGCUUGGAAUUGGGUUCGGGCUCUUCUUGCGCAGCCUAGGUGGGAGGCGUUGAAGGUUUUCUUUCGGGGAAACUGGAGCCAACAGUGAGAGACCACUCUGGAGGAGCUAGAAUUCUAAUGGCGUUCCUUGAAGCAGGACGCUUGACAGUUUCAGGUGGGCAGUUUGACUGGGGCGGUCACCUCCUAAAAAGUAACGGAGGUGUGCAAAGGUUCCCUCAGGCUGGACGGAAAUCAGCCGUAGAGUGUAAAGGCAGAAGGGAGCUUGACUGCAAGACCUACAAGUCGAGCAGGGGCGAAAGCCGGCCUUAGUGAUCCGACGGUGCCGUGUGGAAGGGCCGUCGCUAAACGGAUAAAAGUUA